GCGGACUGCAAGUGGAAAACGAAAACUUGUAUUUUUCAGAAAAUCUGUAAAAAAAUUUUCCAAAAAUUUUUUUUUGCAUAAAAUAUUCACUUAUUUUGGGCUUUUGCAAAACCGGGCCACCUUUUUCGUUUUUGCAAAUUCGGUCCGCUUUUUCAGCAAACUGACCAAAAUACCCUUAUUACUUUUUCUCUUUCCUCUUUCUCUCUUCUCUUCGUUCUCUCGUUCUUUUUUUUUUUUUCGCCGAAAAAAAAAAACGACAGCCGGAGCACCGCUAGGCGGGCUCUUCUUCUUCUUCUUCUUCUUCUUCUUCUUCCUGCAGGAGCAAUUUUAUUUUCUCUUUUUUUUUUCUUCUUCUUCUUUCUCCGCUCGCCACGGA
rnacentral:lncRNA from 1 species